UCCUGGCUCAGGACGAACGCUGGCGGCGUGCUUAACACAUGCAAGUCGAACGAUGAAGCCUUUCGGGGUGGAUUAGUGGCGAACGGGUGAGUAACACGUGGGCAAUCUGCCCUUCACUCUGGGACAAGCCCUGGAAACGGGGUCUAAUACCGGAUAACACUUCGUCCCUCAUGGGAUGGGGUUAAAAGCUCCGGCGGUGAAGGAUGAGCCCGCGGCCUAUCAGCUUGUUGGUGGGGUAAUGGCCUACCAAGGCGACGACGGGUAGCCGGCCUGAGAGGGCGACCGGCCACACUGGGACUGAGACACGGCCCAGACUCCUACGGGAGGCAGCAGUGGGGAAUAUUGCACAAUGGGCGAAAGCCUGAUGCAGCGACGCCGCGUGAGGGAUGACGGCCUUCGGGUUGUAAACCUCUUUCAGCCAGGGAAGAAGCGAAAGUGAC
rnacentral:rRNA from 1 species